AGAGGCUUCCCCCACAUUUCUCCCAUAAAACUGAAAGGCCUUGUUUCAACUCAGUACUCUAGAAGGUGCAUCUAAGCUGAAUCUUUCUCAUUCACCUUUACUAUGAAAGUCACAGAGGAAAACAAUUACAUUUAGGAGAAAGCACUCUUGAUUUGAAACUGAUCUCCAUCGGGGCAAGAAGGUGCACAUAAAUUAUGCUGGUAGAAACCAUAAAUGUGCAUGGAAAAAUAGAAAUAAUUAAAUCUAAUCAAAGCGGUGGCUGCUAAAUGAAGAGAUAAGAAUUUGCUGGAUUGUUUUUCCUCUCUGAGCUCAGGAACAGCUGGCAUGGAAGUGGAAAGAGCAAUGUGUCUUAUAGCAAAUAUUCCCCAGGAAACAGAACAUGUAACUCCUCUAGAGAGGCUCUUUCUUCAGCUGUGGAAUUAACAUGGCCUGCCAGAGAGUUGCCUAGCUGCACAUAACUUAGCAGGUAAACAGAAAAGGACUCCCUCUAGUGAAUUUCAUAUGUCUAAGGAGCCUGGGGAUUGGAGUCUGUGGGAAAGAAGGCAGUAGACAGGAAAGGCAUAGUGGGAGCUGGAUUGAGGGGCUGGCUGGGGAAAUCUAGUUAUUGAUUGGAGCAAUGAAAACAGGCUAG